UUUUAAUUACAAAUUAUAAUUAUGUACAUAAGGAUAAAAUUGUAAUUUAAAACAAUUUACUCCCAAUUCAAUACAAAGUAAACAAAUAAUUAGGAUUCUGAUUGACAAUCCAUACUUUCAUUUAGUCUAAGUAAACACCCUACUCUCACUCCCACUCUACACUCCUAAUUCAAGGCUUCUCACUCCUUAGGAUUCCCACUCCAAUCCAAAAAGUAAACGCAGCAAUAGUUGGGCCCUAAAUAAAUUUAGUUCUUAUAAAGCCCAUGAAAAGGUGGGCAGACCUCCUAGGCGACAAAGUUCAAAGCCCAAAAGAUUCUAAAGUCCUCGAAUAGAUUUUAUCCUAAGACAAACCAUGCUUCUAGGUGGUAAGACUUCAAGGUCCAAAAGGUUCUAAGGUCUUAGAAUCCUAUUAUAAGACAAAUCAUCUAGGUGACAAGGCUUUAAAAUGCAAAAGGUUCCGAGGUCAUAGGUUCUUAUUCAAAAAUAAACCUCUUAAAUUCCAAGAAUCAUACGAUCGCAGAGUCUUACUAAAAACAACAUAAAGUUAAAACACUUCUUCUUUUAAGCCAUGGAAAAGCUUGCAUAUUCAUGUGUCAAUCAACAUAGACACAAGAAAACAAGGAUCGCUAGAUGUCACAAGAACAAUGACAUUUGUAAUCAAAGUAAUUAGAACUCAAGUUAAAUCAAUUUUGCCUAUAAAUGUGCCCUUCAUUCUCACUAAAAGAUGUAAAAAAAUGGACUCAAGAGGGGAAAUGCUGAAUUUUUCUCUCUAAAUUCGUAUCUCUAAAAAUUAGGUGAUUGACUUGAUUGUCGAAGACUUUACACUAGCAAAGUCGGCCCUCUAACCCUUUUUUUGUAUUUGUAGAGUAUUAUUGAACAAAGACAUAUUUAUCUCUUAGAAAAGUGGGCUAAGAGGAAGAGAUCCAAAGACCCAUUAAGAACAAGCCAAAGGGUAAAUUCAUCAUCAUCAAAUUCAACAAAGAGGAACCCAAUCGUAAGGGCGUCAUCCUUGGUGAAAUUACAAUGUAAGAAGUUAUGAUAAACUUGCACCAGCAGAUUUAAGUGGUUUGUCUUAUGAUAGAAUCUUAAAACUUUGGAACCUUUUGGGCUUUGAAACAUUGCCACCCAAGUGGUUUAUCCUAAGUAGUUUUACCUCUUCAUGAGCUUUAUAAGGACUAAAUUUAUAUGGGUCCUAACUACGCCUAUCUUAUUUUUGGUCCAACAAUUUUUAUAUAAUAGAUAUAACAAAUAUAACUCACACUUUAGUAAGAGGGCUUUUGACCUUUUCUUAAAAUCAAUAGGCACAAUUAGGGAUGGCAAACAGCGGGUCUGGGUCGGGCUUUUUCAAGCCCAAGUCCAGGCCCACUGUCAGUUAAACGUGCGGGCAUGGGCCGAGCUCGGGCCGAAUUUGGGUUUAUUUGUUUAU
rnacentral:lncRNA from 1 species